GCCAGGUGUGGAGGCACAUACCUGUAGUCCCAGCCAUUCGGGAGGCUGAGGCAGGAAGAUCACUUGAGCCCAGGAGAUCUGGGCUGCAGUAAGCUAUGAUGGCAACACUGCACUCCAGCCUGGGAGACAGAGUGAGACCCUGUCUCAA
rfam:Homo sapiens chromosome 3, GRCh38 reference primary assembly.